CCUACGGGAGGCAGCAGUGGGGAAUAUUGGACAAUGGGGGCAACCCUGAUCCAGCCAUGCCGCGUGUGUGAAGAAGGCCCUCGGGUUGUAAAGCACUUUCAGUGAGGAAGAACGCCUGGUGGUUAAUACCCAUCAGGAAAGACAUCACUCACAGAAGAAGCACCGGCUAACUCCGUGCCAGCAGCCGCGGUAAUACGGAGGGUGCGAGCGUUAAUCGGAAUUACUGGGCGUAAAGCGCGCGUAGGUGGCUUGAUAAGCCGGUUGUGAAAGCCCCGGGCUCAACCUGGGAACGGCAUCCGGAACUGGCAAGCUAGAGUGCAGGAGAGGGAGGGAGGAUUCCCCGGGGAGCGGGGAAAAGCGUAGGGGUCCGGAGGAAUACCAGUGGGGAAGGCGGCCUUCUGGACUGACACUGACACUGAGGUGCGAAAGCGUGGGUAGCAAACAGGAUUAGAUACCCGAGUAGUC
rnacentral:rRNA from 1 species